rnacentral:lncRNA from 1 species
GGGCGAUUGGCGGGGGAGGUUACUCGACAAGUCGCCAAAAUCAUGUUUUCCAGGUCGUCCGGACGGCCUCCUCCCCCUGCUCCUGCCCGAGCUCCGGAGCCGAGCUUUCGCGGUGCCGAAUCUUUAAGGCGGCCAAGUAUUGACAAGUCCAUUUCAGCCGUGCUGGUUGUUCAAGCUCUCAGGUUCUCUCGGGCUUCAAGGCCGAGCGAGGACUCCG